UACGUAGGGUGCAAGCGUUAUUCGGAAUUACUGGGCGUAAAGCGUGCGCAGGCGGUUUUGUAAGUCAGAUGUGAAAUCCCCGGGCUUAACCUGGGAACUGCGUUUGAAACUACAAGGCUAGAGUGUGGCAGAGGGGGGUGGAAUUCCUCGUGUAGCAGUGAAAUGCGUAGAGAUGUGGAGGAACACCGAUGGCGAAGGCAGCCCCCUGGGUUAACACUGACGCUCAGGCACGAAAGCGUGGGGAGCAAACAGG
rnacentral:rRNA from 1 species